rnacentral:lncRNA from 1 species
UGUUUAGAAAGUGUUAGUAACCAACUAGAUAUAAAAUUUGAGUUUAAUUUAAAUUCAUUUUCUCCUGUGUAGCUAAAGGUUGGUGACUGAGAGAGAAGGAACAAACCAGAGUGUUUUACAGCAGCCCAGCUGAACAAAGGGAUCUACCAAUACUGGUGAGGUUCCUUCUGUGAACUGGACAAUGGAAGCUGCCCCCAAUUCAUGGUCACUCUUCCCACUGGCGAACGUCCUAAGGAGGAGCUGUUUUUAGGUUGUGCCUGCUGAGAGUUGGAGGUGAAGAAGUGCACACCCACCCUUUGUGCCAUUCUUGCUGAGGACUUGUACAACAUUGUUGUUCAGGGCUGAACAGAUUUCCAGAUCUCCUUUUGGCAGCUGGAUAAGGAGGGAAUGCCACCGCAAAGGAGGGAUCGUCGAGGCGAGGUUGAAGUCGUACUCAAAGGCAGCAGCAGUGCUGUGCAUCGCACAUAUCACCACCGUGAUCGGUGAACUUCUCCCCUGGAGGGACUCUCAGACCUCUGUGAGUAGCAUCCAUGAUAACUAAAGCUGGGCCUGCAUACGGUUUUAAAAGUGAUAAAAAAUCCCACAAUUGAAAAUCACUUGUUUCAG